rnacentral:rRNA from 1 species
GACGAACGCUGGCGGCGUGCUUAACACAUGCAAGUCGAACGGAAAGGCCCCUUUGGGGGUACUCGAGUGGCGAACGGGUGAGUAACACGUGAGUAACCUGCCCUUGACUUCGUUAUAACUUCAGGAAACUGGGGCUAAUACCGGAUAGGAAUCCUUGCUGCAUGGUGGGGGUUGGAAAGCUUCGGCGGUUUUGGAUGGACUCGCGGCUUAUCAGCGUGUUGGUGGGGUAGUGGCUUACCAAGGCUUUGACGGGUAGCCGGACUGGGAGGGCGACCGGCCACAUUGGGACUGAGAUACGGCCCAGGCUCCGAAGGGAGGAAGAAGUGGGGAAUAUUGAACAAUGGGCGGAAGCCUGAUGCAGAAAGGCCGCGGGCGGGAUGACGGCCUUCUGGUUGUAAAACGCUUUCAGCAGGGGCGAAGCUUGUGGUGACGGUACCUGCAGAAGAAGCACCGGCUAACUACGUG